rfam:Rattus norvegicus chromosome 19, whole genome shotgun sequence.
GGGGAUUUAGCUCAGUGGUAGAGCGCUUGCCUAGCAAGUGCAAGGCCCUGGGUUUGGACCCCAGCUCCG